UGGAGUGUAAUAUUUUGUGUAUAAAAGCGGUUCUAAAUACUCAAUUUGUGAAUGAAGAACUAAUUAUGCCAUUUUUUAAAUCGCUUGUUUCAAUAAUAGAUUUUGUAUGAACUAUUUGAAAAGUGAAUGUAAUAUAAAAGGCGUCUUAUAAGCAAUCAUGGAAAAUAAAAUAGUGAAAACACCAAGGAAAUGGCGGUUUUGUCUACAGCAAAUGGGAAGUUAUCGCUCUAGUUUUUGGAAUAACAGUGUUCUUAAUCGGAGCUACCAUAGUAGCUUUUGGGAUAAAGAAAAAUAGAGAAGAUACAGAGUCUCUGGGCCGGCCUUGGGUCAUAGGUGGCGUAGUGUGUUGUUUUUGUGCAGUUACUAUACCAGGAUGCGUAUCAGCGUACAAAACCCUCACUAAUUUCCGAAAACGAAUCAUCCAUUCUAAGACCGCAGCAAGUAAGAAGUUUCGAAGCCGCGUUUCGUGGCCCAAGUAGAUUGUUCUAUCUCAAUCGAUUAAUUGUUAAGACAAGGAAAUAAAGUACAUUAUCAUUUUUUA